AUGUUUUAUUCUGCAGCACAAAAAAUAAUGUGUGUUUCAGCAGCCUAUAAUCAGUUCAUCUUUUGCAGGAGAGAAUUAAUUCUUUUCGAGCUGUUUUCCUGGAGGGUUCCAAGGUUGCUUCCGGCGAAGAGGCACACGAAGACGUUGAAAUCGAAGGCAACUUCCUUUACCCUUGUUUUCCUCUUAUAUAUGGUGUCAACCAACAUGGAGCCAAAUGCAACGCACCUAAAAAAGUGGAACCACUUUCAUCAAAACCAUUAUUAUUACAGUAUAUUUUAUGUUAUUUUGUUUUGUUUUAGUAUUAGUCUUUGUGUAAUGAUUUUUCCACCUUGA
rnacentral:rRNA from 1 species